CGUAGGAGACAAACGUUAUCCGGAGUUACUGGGCGUAAAGGGCGUGUAGGUGGUUUCGUAAGUCUGGCGUGAAAUUUUUCGGCUUAACCGGGAAAGGUCGUCGGAUACUGCGGGACUAGAGGGUGGUAGAGGCGUGUGGAAUUCCGGGUGUAGUGGUGAAAUGCGUAGAGAUCCGGAGGAACACCAGUGGCGAAGGCGACACGCUGGGCCAUACCUGACACUGAUGCGCGACAGCAUGGGGAGCAAACAGGAUUAGAAACCCUGGUAGUCCAUGCCGUAAACGAUGCUAGCUGGGUGUUCAGGGGGGGAAACCCCUCGGGGUACCGAAGUCAACACGGUAAGCUAGCCGCCUGGGGAGUACGGUCGCAAGAUUA
rnacentral:rRNA from 1 species